UCUCUGGAUUCCCGACUCCUGCAGUCCUGCUCGGCUGCUCCAGUGCUCCUUGAACUCUUAAUUCUCAUCCCUCAGUGCAGCUGUCCCCAUUUUGCUUCCCCUUCCAGAGUUCCAGCCUUCCAGGUUCGAUAGUGAGUCCUGCAGUCCGCCAGUCCGCCGAGCCACCUCCUCCGCCACCGAGCCACCUCCACAGCUCCACUGCGAGUCUGCGACUUCCGCAGUUUCAAGGCUUCAAUCCAGAUGCCAGGGACGUAUUUUUGUUGAAUGUUUGAUAAUUGAAUAAAUUGAUUGUCAUUGCUGAUGGAGUGAUGGGUAAUGGGUUGUUGAUGAAUGAUGAAUUGAUGAUGGGUUGAUACUUGAUAAUUGGGAAUGGAUCUCUGUAUCGGGUUGUUGCUGUUACAAUGAUUAAGGUUGAUAAUUGG
rnacentral:lncRNA from 1 species